CCUACGGGAGGCAGCAGUGAGGAAUAUUGGUCAAUGGCCGAGAGUCUGAACCAGCCAAGUAGCGUGAAGGAUGACUGCCCUAUGGGUUGUAAACUUCUUUUAUAUGGGAAUAAAGUGUUCCACGUGUGGGGUUUUGUAUGUACCAUAUGAAUAAGGAUCGGUUAACUCCGUGCCAGCAGCCGCGGUAAUACGGAGGAUCCGAGCGUUAUCCGGAUUUAUUGGGUUUAAAGGGAGCGUAGGAGGGUUGUUAAGUCAGGUGUGAAAGUUUGCGGCUCAACCGUAAAAUUGCAGUUGAAACUGGCAGUCUUGAGUGCAGUAGAGGUAGGCGGAAUUCGUGGUGUAGCGGUGAAAUGCUUAGAUAUCACGAAGAACUCCGAUUGCGAAGGCAGCUUACUGGACUGCAACUGACGCUGAGGCUCGAAAGUGUGGGUAUCAAACAGGAUUAGAUACCCGGGUAGUC
rnacentral:rRNA from 1 species